rnacentral:rRNA from 1 species
GCGGCAGGCCUAAUACAUGCAAGUCGAGCGCACCUUCGGGUGAGCGGCGAACGGGUGAGUAACGCGUGGGAAUGUGCCCUUCUCUGCGGAAUAGCCAUUGGAAACGAUGAGUAAUACCGCAUACGCCCUUCGGGGGAAAGAUUUAUCGGAGAAGGAUCAGCCCGCGUUAGAUUAGGUAGUUGGUGGGGUAAUGGCCUACCAAGCCUACGAUCUAUAGCUGGUUUGAGAGGAUGAUCAGCCACACUGGGACUGAGACACGGCCCAGACUCCUACGGGAGGCAGCAGUAGGGAAUCUUAGACAAUGGGCGCAAGCCUGAUCUAGCCAUGCCGCGUGCGUGACGAAGGCCUUAGGGUCGUAAAGCACUUUCGCCAGGGAUGAUAAUGACAGUACCUGGUAAAGAAGCCCCGGCUAACUCCGUGCCAGCAGCCGCGGUAAUACGGAGGGGGCUAGCGUUGUUCGGAAUUACUGGGCGUAAAGCGCGCGUAGGCGGAUUGUUAAGUCGGGGGUGAAAUCCCGGGGCUCAACCCCGGAACUGCCUCCGAUACUGGCAAUCUAGAGUUCUGGAGAGGUGAGUGGAAUUCCGAGUGUAGAGGUGAAAUUCGUAGAUAUUCGGAGGAACACCAGUGGCGAAGGCGGCUCACUGGCCAGACACUGACG